AUGUAUAUAGGAGUAUGCCUCCGAUGCCGGACAUUGAACGUCCAAGCCACCUGAUGCCGUCUCGACCCCCUGUUGUUUCUAUAAGUGAGGAGGACAGCGAGAGCACUGAUGAUGCCCACACCUUGGCAGAUGUGAUGAAGGGCAAGAAGGUGAAGACCUCCCAGGAGGGCCAAAGCUCUACAAGUGGUGAUUCUUUGUCUAGUCACCCGAAGGGGUUGAGGGCCGCCACCCGAAAAUGCAAGGGUAGUGUUGUAUCGAGUGGUAAUGAGGAUGAAACACCAAGCUCCCCGAACCCAAAGCAUACCAAGCUGAGGGUCGAGGAAGCUGUCAGGGGUAAUAUUGUGAAGGAGCAAGAUGUAUCCUCUGUCACAGUGGACCCAUCAACAGGUACUGCUGCAACGACGCUGGGACAAGCACUACCCUUGAUGACCGUCGCUAUUGCCUCACCGUGGCAAACUCUGCCUGCGGCUGGCAAGUCAGCGGCGAUAGGUGCUUUAGAUGCUGCUUCAGCGUCUAAAGCACUAAAAUAGAAGAAAUUGCAUGUAAAGAAAUCCGCAUCGCCAGCCUCUACUCCGAGCUUGGAACAACCUGGCGAUGCCUCGGUGACUCUAGCCCUGAAAGGAUCUUGGUGAUGCAUAGAAGCGGGCGGGGGGUGAAUAGGCGUAACUGUAAAAUCUGAAAAAUUCUUCGUAGCAAUUAAAUCUAU